GACAGAGGAUGCAAGCGUUAUCCGGAAUGAUUGGGCGUAAAGCGUCUGUAGGUGGCUUUUCAAGUCCGCCGUCAAAUCCCAGGGCUCAACCCUGGACAGGCGGUGGAAACUACCAAGCUGGAGUACGGUAGGGGCAGAGGGAAUUUCCGGUGGAGCGGUGAAAUGCGUAGAGAUCGGGAGGAACACCAAAGGCGAAAGCACUCUGCUGGGCCAUAACUGACACUGAGAGACGAAAGCGAGGGGAGCAAAAGGG
rnacentral:rRNA from 1 species